GGCGCAAGUGAAAUACCACUACU
rnacentral:sRNA from 1 species